GCCUACUAACGGAGCUCUCGAGCUUCUUCCGUCUGGACAUAUUUUCGAACUUGGGCUAGCAGGUCAGUAUAGUCCCUCAAGAACUUCUUGUUAAGGGAGAAGAAAAGGUGCUCGUUCCGUAAAACUUGUUUAAGUGCUGACAUGACCAUCGACUGAUCGAGAUCUCACACUUCGAGUGUGGUAGCAUUGAAGCAUAUGAUAUAGUCACAUAGUGACUCAUCCUUUUCUUGGUAGAGAGAAAAGAGGCUAUCAGAGUUUCUAAGUUGAGGUCGGCAACUGUUAAAAUGGGUAACGAGUAGCCUACCGAGCUACUCGAAUGAAUGAACCCUCGUCAGAGUCUAGAAUACCAUAUCCAUGCCGACUUUCUGAGGGUGGCCAAGAAAGCGAGGCACAAGAGGGCAUCUGAAGUGCCCUGGAGCAUCAUGAGCAUUCUAUAACUCUAUAGAUAAU
rnacentral:lncRNA from 1 species